AUUUGUGACACUGUUUUGUACUGGAAGAGAAGUUCUGCAUGCGGUGUGAGGCUCGCUGCAUGGUUGUCUCUGGGCUUAUUCUGUUUACUAGCCCAGAUGCCUUCCUGUGUUUCAGUGUGGCAACAUGGAAGAAACUGUGCAGCAGAGCUGGGUGUAUG
rnacentral:lncRNA from 12 species